UGGGGAAUAUUGGACAAUGGGCGAAAGCCUGAUCCAGCCAUGCCGCGUGAGUGAUGAAGGCCUUAGGGUUGUAAAGCUCUUUUAGCAGGGAAGAUAAUGACGGUACCUGCAGAAAAAGCCCCGGCUAACUUCGUACCAGCAGCCGCGGUAAUACGAAGGGGGCUAGCGUUGCUCGGAAUUACUGGGCGUAAAGCGCACGUAGGCGGACUCUUAAGUCGGUGGUGAAAUCCUGGAGCUCAACUACAGAACUGCCUUCGAUACUGGGAGUCUUGAGUUCGGGAGAGGUGAGUGGAACUGCGAGUGUAGAGGUGAAAUUCGUAGAUAUUCGCAAGAACACCAGUGGCGAAGGCGGCUCACUGGCCCGAUACUGACGCUGAGGUGCGAAAGCGUGGGGAGCAAACA
rnacentral:rRNA from 1 species